rnacentral:lncRNA from 1 species
CCCAUUUCUCUAACCGUGUGUGUAGACGGUGAGCCUGGGUGAUCAACGUGACAGCACUUCUGCUCAUGCCAACAGGGUGCUCUGCCAGGUCUACCCAUGGUGAAGGGGAGACAAGCCACCUGACACCUCGCCACUCGGGCCGACGGCAGCAUUUGACUGCUAGGACACUGUCUUGUGACCCACUUUACUCACUGCUCCUUACUUCUCAGUUAUAAGCAGUAAUUAGUAAUGUCAGUGUUCCUGUUCUGGCUGGAUUGCUCCUGGCUGGAUUGCUCCAGGCCCAUUAAUGAUACAAGAGCAGGAACAGAUGAAUGCAAAAAGUCUGCUGACCCCUGGUAUGGAUGUUUACAGAAAAAGUCUGCUGAACCUCAGUAUGGAUGCUGACCCCCCGGUAUGGACCUCCACUGUACUGAGGUACCAAAAUGUACUGAAAUUGUUCCCUGCUGAUGGGUAUUGCAUUGGAUUUCCUUAAGAAUAAAAUUAAACUCCUUUAAUGCUAAGAAGCUCCAAGACAUUUGAGGAAGGAAAGAGCAGGAACUAGCUAGGAAGAAGCCGGCAUGAAGAAGCCAAGCUUAAAGAGGGAACUUCAGAGCAAGCUACAACCUCCCCAAGUGUCAAUUCCUCUUUUUAGAGGAAGUAAGAAGGGAACUGUAGGUCUUUUGAUAAGAGGAAAUUCCCCUUUGCUAUAUCAAAGCUGCUCCCUGUGCUUGUGUUGUUCUAAAGUUAGGCAAGACUGCCUGAAGCAUACUGUGACCAAAUUAGGAAGCAAGAAGGCUGAUGUCUCUAAAGCUGGUCACCCAUGGCCAGGCAGCCCAGGCAUGCAAAGACAGAGAUGGACGCGGGUAGAGACUCUCUGGCCAACAAGGAGAUGCUAUUUGCUUAAGAAAUCAGCCUUAAAAAUGACACAACGAAAAUUAAUAACUGUUCUAUAAGAUGGAAUUCACUUGCUGUUGUUGACCAAAAAAACAAAGGCUUCCAACAUUUCCACAAGCAAAGAACAUGAGAGAAGCACAGUGAGACGAAUGCUCCCAGGCAUCAUGGGUUUAUUCCAAAGGCAGUAAAGGUCUUGGAAAGUGCCAAGGAAAUUAUACCACUUAGCUCUUUGAUAGAUCAAGAUAGUCAGUUUUACACUAUUGAGAAAAGAAGAAUCCAGAAAGGUCUUACUAAAAAGGGCAUUUUGUAAACUUUCCAUUUUAGGACGGCCUACUCAAUUUCUUUAUUUGCUGGAACAGUUUUCAAACAAGUCUUUCAGCUUCAAAACAAGGUCUAGGUAUGCAGUACUUGAAUCAUUCACACUGAGCUUGCUUCCGCCACUGCUACUCAAUGAUAUUCUCUUUAAGGAAUGACUUCUGAGUUAACUUUUGAUUCAGAUCCAAUGAGCUCAGAAUCUAUUCUGACCACGAGCACUAUCUGGGUAAUAACAUUUGACCUUGAAAUCCCUGCUUUCCUCCAAAACUUCCAGAUCAGCAAGAUUCUUGGACACAAUUUUUAUUCCCUUGGCAAUGUGCUUAGUUCAGUUCCAACAUCUGCUAUGAGAUCAGACAGUCAGAAUUAAGGUAAGUUUAAACGACAAAACAAAUCUCAGUUCUUGUUUAUAGGAAAACCUUCAAGGGCUCCAAGCCAAAGGAUGAGGCCCACUUGUGGCGCAAUUUGAGGACCUGCCUGCCCUGGAGCAGAGAUGUGUAUGGUGGCCAUGCCCUUCAGCCUAUGGAAAGUACAUUCUCUGUAGCUGCGUAGCUUGUGUUGGGCUGGUCUCCUGGUCUGCCAGGGUGCACUGGGCAGAAAUUUUACAGCCACUCUCUCAAAGUGUUCUAGGUGUUGUCAAAAUAGCUAAGCAUUUGUCUACUAACUACUCCUGUUUUGAUUUUGAACAUUUAUUUAUAAUCAUCUAAAGGACCCAAGCAUUUUAUAGAAAAGACAAUAUACUUUCCAAAGACCCUGGUUAACUGACAUACAAAUCCACCAACUAAGAACUGUAUUUCUAUUAGUUAAGGCUUCUGUGGCUCAACUUUAACUGAGCCAAAAAAUACACUAAUGGGCCAAUGGGGACACAGAUGGGUUAGGGAACUACCCCUGAACCCAAAGUUCAUAUAUAGCCAAGAAGUUCAAUGACUUCAAGCUACACGAAGUUAGCACUUAACCUAUCCACGGUUCUUCAUCUGUACAACAAGCAUGUCUGGGUUAUAUGACCUCCUGGGUCCGGCUUAUAAAUCUAACAUCUACAACUGCAAGUCAAGAGUACCAAAUACCAAUAUACAAAACCACCUGCGCAGACCCAGUGCAGCAACUUGUACCAAGGUUUGAACCACACAUUCACACGUCCAGCAGCCACAGAGACGAAAACGACACGCCAGCCUGUCCUGACCUCACACUCCCCAGUCUGAGGGCCCGGCAGAAGCGCCACAUCGCCUUCCUCUCCUGUUUUUUCUUAUGGCUGCUGCUGCCUCGGAGCCCGGACUAAGCAAGGCUGUUAGGCACGGGGUGAGCACGGUUGCGCCUACUGCUGAGAGUGCCUCUCCCUGCCGGUCUCCUGCUCUCUCUCUGCAGAGCAGAAGACACCGCAGCUAUAGACAAGUUCUAUUGCCCUUUUAUGGUAGAAAAAUGAAUUGCUUGCUAGCAGUGGUGCCGAGAGAGAUGACAGAAUGGAAAGUUGUCAUUUGUUGUGGUUUUGGCAGCCACAGAAUAGUGUUCUCCCCUAGUCAUCCUCGGAUGGAUGGUGCACACCAGGCAUUCACAGAGGGAAAAGCAAAACCCCUGGUCAAACUGUUCCCUUAUGUGUUCUUCCCUUGCUUUGCCUGUAAACGGAUGUGUUUAUUUAUGAACAGUGUCAAGCCCCAUUGUGGAAAUGUACUUUUUACAAAACAAGGUAUCAAAAGGCUGUUUGUGUUGCACUGAAAGACUAAGCAGAGGUGCCACAGAAAACAUGUUUCCCGUCAGAACGCAUCCAAGGAACAGACUUCAUUUCCUCACACAACAAGGAUGUAGGACUAGGCUGGGAAGGGAGGGUACCCCACUUGAAGGAGGGGCUGUGGCUCUCAGCACAACCCAGCACGGCCUUGAUCCCUGACUCCCAGGAGGCACGGAAGGACAAGAAAGCAGCCACCAGCUCCAGACAAAUCCAGCCCAAGGGGAAACACACUGACAUCCACAGUCCAUGUGGUGACGAAGAGCAGUUGGUACCGCAUGGCUUUAAAUUGUUUGUAUUUCUGUCAGGAGGCCCAUGGAAAAAAAGCAGGGCUCUCAGCAGCUGGGAAAACAUGUUGCAAAAGGAGAAUUAAGCAAUUCUCUGUAUGCACAUCACAGAGAAAUUAAGCUGAUCUGAGUGAGAGAAAUUAAGCUUAUUCGACAUGCCUUCGGCUGGAAAACAAGCCUUUUUAAAUGACUGGGAAAAAACUUGUGAAGGUUACAUGGUUUCCUCCUUAUGUAAAGCACCUGAGGACUAAAACAAAUUCACUGGCCGGUGGGAAUGCAGCAAAGCAGCAACUGCCCAAUGAUCUACUCCAGGGCACCCACACACACCACAGGAAGGAGGAGCAGGCCGGGGCAGCCUCCUAGACACGCGUGCCCAAGAUCGUGUCCUAUGGUCUCGCUUCGGCCGCUCUUCACCAAAGCCUCUUCCUUGGCUGCUGCCAUCCUCGCUUUUGACUACUGCCCCACGUCUCCCCUCUUGCCCCCAACCUGCCCUUAGAACCAGGUUCCUUCAGGCCAAAUCCCACCUAGGUCUUCUGGAAAAUGGGAAAAGUAAUCACAGCAAAUACCUGCAACAUUGUACGAACGGGCUCUGGGAGGGCUGUAGGAGGACGGCAUGUCCCCAGGUUACUAGAAAUGACUUGCCAUAGUGACUACAUUGGCAAGGUGUUCCAAUUCCCUUGAUAUUCUAUAUCUGAUCUCUCCCUCCCUCCCACUCCCUUUCAAGGAUCUACAAAAUUCACCCUCCCACAAGCAGCAUGUGAUCCCACUGUGUCCCUCCAUUACGCCAGCAACAGCUCCAGGGACGGGGGUAGGGGAAGUCUCCAAAAUAAAAUCCACCCUCCUUGUUUUGUUCUGCAUUGCAAAGCCCUCAACAGGGUCUAUUUAUCUUCAAAGUCCUGCUUCCUUCUGCUCUGGACACACCUGUCUACUUGCUGACCCUUCACCCAGCUUUGCUCGUGUCAUUCUCUGGGCCUGGAGUAAAGUUCUCCCCAUCUCCGCCAAUAAGACCCCACCACGGCCUGGUCAGGCCCAGACCCAUGUCGCUCAUGCAGAGCCGCAUGUUCCUCACAGCAGUCACCAUCACUCUCUCAUCCCACUGAUGGUCAGUUAGGGCCGUGGUUGCCCUUUCUCUUUCUUACUCCCUUUGGCACAGAAAUGCUCAAUACAUAUCUGCUGAACGAACGACCAGACUUCAACCAAAGCAGAAAUCAGCCCACAUGUCUCCAUAUAGGCAGAUGACAGGCAGCUGGUAAUGAUCGUGUUUAGAGGAGAAGAUGAAGUGUCAGGCAAGGUGAGGGGCCAAACCCUCAUUGGCCUCUUCUGUACCAUGGCUGGGCUAAGGCUUUUUUAUUCUUUUGUUUGUUUAAAGAGAUGAGGUCUUGCUAUGUUGUCCAGGCUGGCCUCAGCCUCCUGUGCAGCUGGGACUACAAGUGCGCACCACCACUCCCAGCCUGGGGAAAGGUUUUGAUGGAGUCCAGAGACAGAAGGUGGGGAAGGGAAGAAUCUUUACAAGCAAUUUGAGGUGCUUAGGAUGCAAGGGUGCUCGCCUGGAGAAGACAGAAGCUAGGAGCACAACAGGUUAGGUCAGAGUAGUAGGUGCUGGCCUUGAGGGUGAAAAGUAGGUUUUUAUGGGAGGCAAGAAGGCCUUGAAGCUAAGAGGGCUGUGGGAACACGAGAUGUUUUUAGCAGCGAAGUCUAACAGAGCAGGGGAGAGAAGGGCAAAAGGACAAGCUGUAGUCAAAGAUAAGAGCGGAAGAAAUUGUGAUCUAUUUCACCCUCUUUGGGCUAGAAUCUGGAUCAGCUUCUCAGACAUAGGCAGCUUUUGAAACUUCAAAUGCUUUUCAUACAAGCUUCUGACGGGAAAUAAAACUGAAAAAAAAGUACUUUUAUGAGGCUAUGGGGAUUUCAUCUGAGAAACUCUCUUAGCCUGUUUAUUUUUGAAAAGCAAAUGCCAAUCCUAGUUUUAAAAUCCUCGGUUUUCUAGAAAUCAGUGUUUGGGCUAGAGGGACACUCAAAAGGUCAUGUGGGCUUUCUUCUGGUUGCAGCUGGACUGCAUGUAAGCAGUUGUACUGGAGCAAGGAGGGUCUGUUACAGGCUAUACAAUGCUCUCAACACAGAACCCCAGGCUUCCUGGGAACCCAAUUCAUCGGUUACAAUGAAGUCCAGUGAGCUGUCUUAGAUUCUUUUAUACACACACACACACACACACACACACACACAUACACACACACGCAUGCAUGCUGGAGUACAGUGGCAUGAUCAUGGUUCACAGCGGCCUCGAUCUUCUGGGCUCAGGUGAUCUUCCCGCCUCAGCCUCCCGAGUAGCUGGGACUACAGAUGCACAGCACCCAUGCCUUAUUAAAUUUUUUUCUAUUUUGUGUAGAGACGAGGUUGUGCUUUGUUGCCCAGGCUGGUCUUGAACUCAUAACCUCAAGCAAUCCUCCUGCCUCAUUCUCCCAAAGUGCUGGAAUUAUAGGCAUGAGCCACCGCUCCGGCCUCUUGGAUUCUUCAUAGGUAGUUUAAGUCUGUUUUCCCAGAGAAGCUGGAAAACACCAGGUCCCUACCACUUAUAUAGAAGAAUCUUGUGCAGAGAAACUACACAGGAAACCUUCCCUCCUCUAGGAUGAAGAGCUCUUUAACCUUCUCACAAAAAGCUGUUAACAUUUUCCUGUUAUGUUGCACAUUUUCUCAUCUCUUAAAAAACUGAACAAGCCACAAAACAGGACAUUCGAAUAAGGGUCUUUCCAGUCCCCAAGAGUGAACUGGAAAGCAGCAAAGCAAACCAAAACAAUGAGAGCACAGAUAAAGCUAACACUGAAGACAGCUAGAGUUUUUGACUUGUUUUUUUUAAAACUAACUUUUUAUUGUAGAAAAUUUUAAACAUAUACAAAAGCAGAGGAUGUAAUGAACCCUAUGCACCCAUUAUCGUGUUUAAUAAUGAUCGACUCAUAACCAAUCUGAGCUUAUCUAUACCCUACCUGUUCACUCAUCCCUCCUCCUUCAGUAUAAUUUUGAAGCAAAUCCCAGAUUACAAAUCUUUUCAUUUAUAAAUAUUUCAGUUUGUAUCUGCAAAAGAUAAAGACUCUUGAAACUAAUGCAGCAUAUCAAAAUUACACCUAAAAACACAAAUAACAAUGAGAAACCCUGGAUUUGACUCCUGAUGCUGUCACUUACUAGCUGUGUGACUUUGAGCAGAUAAGGAGUAAAAAGCCCCUAAAACCCAGGAAGAGUUUUAUUAGCAAAUACCUAGACCUCAGCCUGUUUUAACUAUGAUGCCAAACUCCCUGCUCAAGCUAUUCUUCCCAUACUGGCCCUGAUGAUCUGACAGAAUUGAACACUAGCUUUUUGUUGUGUUCUUCACCCACUACCUCAGCAGAUUGGAUUUCGUUUCUCAUCACGGCUCUGCAUUACCAAGGAUAUUCACAGUCCAUCUUCCCAGGGGAAUUGUACAGAAACAGAGCACGAACUGUUAUUUAGUUUCAGAAGAGAUGGCAGGGACUGCUGCCUUAGCCUGUUACACUGGACAUGAAGGGCAGCAGGCUUUCUGGGGCUGGGUGGUUGAUUCCACUUGCAGUGAUGUACUGGCCACAGAUACAGACGCACAUUUUCUAACUGUGGUCUGUGGGAAGGCCAUGUGGCCUCUGGGAACUGGAGAUGUGACAGAGACCCUCUGUAUUCUUUAUCUUUGUCUCAAAGUCAGGGAAGACACUGAGGAAUAAAAGGCCUUUUACGUUCUCAGCUACCACAUUGCAACUGGAAUCUGACCUUGAAUUCAAGGAUAAACACAAGAAAUUCCACCCAACAGCAGCUUCAGCUUAGGCUUUGCUCUCAUCUUGCUCGAUGCCCUAAACACUCCUCUUUGCUACUGUUCCCCUUCUCCACAUUCCCCGCCCUGACACAGACACCCACGGGGACAGGGGGUGUUUUCAUGCUUGCGGUAUUACCAUAGCAACAAUUUCUCUUCUACCUGGAAGGCUGGAAACCCUGCAGUGCUCUGUGCUGAGAAUGCAAAGAGGGAACACUAUCACUUUCCACCUCAGCACACACCACAAGCCGCACACGUGCACUCACACACAGCCCCUUCUCAAGGACAUCACAAUGAGAUCAUGACAACAAAUCAGGAUGCUGACACCUAACAACACAAAAUCAGUGCAAUGACAAAAAGGAGGUAAAACAUUUCUUAUAAAAAGGUAUUUUGUAGGUAUCAAUUCUUGAGGGAUUUUUAUUGUGAAAUUUCUAACAUGCAUCUCUCCCUUGAUGAGGCCACAGACACAGAAAAAUGUCAUUAAAUUAUUUUAGUAAAAUAUACAAAGGAACUUAAUAGGUGGUGUGUGGUUUCUAGAAAGAGGGCCACUCCAAGCUUCUGAUCCCCACAGGCUGUGACAAGCCUGAGAAGCAAUAGCUAACUAGUACACAAAACCACAAAAAGAGCCACUAAAUUUUAAUUAAGUACCCAUAGAAACUCGUUAAAAAUCCACAGAGAAUCUUUUUCUGUGAGUACUACAGACAGUGUGUUUUAGUAGAGACCAAAAAUAACAACAACAAAGAGACAAGUAGGUGUGUCCUUCCACAAGGACAGUCCAAGGUGAGCAGCCCUGGCAUCCAAGCCUGCCCGCUGCCAUGGGUGGGCAGGAUGACCAGUGCCCUCCCAGUAGGACAAAAACUCAUGCCCAAUGCACCAAGAAGACAAACCCUGGAUUUCCAUCUCUCCACUGCAACUAAUUUGGAGUUCUCUAGUAUAGCGUAUCGCCGUCUUUGUUUCUAGGCCCCUCCUGUACUCAUUUCUUCUGAAUGUCAUCCCUGAGAUUCUAAACCUUCUGAGUAGGAGUAAGAAAUCAACAUGAAACCUGAGAGAAGGAGCACAGCAGUGCUGUGGACAGAGAGUGCAGACCCUGAGAGUGGGAGCACACACACGACAGCCUCCCCCAGCACGUGGCUCUCCCCAGGUUGCACAGGGCCCUUCUCUGAACUUGAAUAACGUGGACUAAAGGAGAGCUGUCAUUUCUUAUAGAAUGUAUCAGUUAGCAAAAAAAUCAGGUUGAAAAAUCUACCCCUUUACAUGGCAGAACACUGGGGAGCUGGUAGAAAUGAGUUGAGUGGUGAGUGAUGAGUCAUCUUCUGUUCCCUGAUGGGAUUUUCCACCUGCCCACUUUAGGGGAACUCCAUGCUCUUGUGGCAGCAGGUUCACAAAACUGGAGGCAGUUCCCCCUUUCUAGGAUCUCCGUUCAUCUCCUGAGGCCGCACAUCUGCACACACCAUCCUCACUGGGCAGCUAUUACUUCGUGACACAAAGUGCCAGGCACUGCACUUGACACUUUACCCACGCUGUUUCCAUUGGUUUUGCACAAAAGCUCUACGAGGUAGGUGCAACCGUUCUUAUUGUACACGGAAAGGAAAUGUGGCUUAGGGAGAUCAAGUAUUCACCCUAUGUCACAAAGCUAGUGAGUGGAGGAGCUAGAAUUAAAGCAUAAGUGGGUUUAAUAUCAAAAUCCCUUGUCUUAACCACUGAGCUAUACCGUUUCCCUCACUGUGAUGCAGCAACAGCCACGCAUUUCACUGCCAUUCAUGGCCUCACAGCACCCAGUGCUGUGCAGAGCUGCACAUCAAUCAACACUUCUCACGUAAGGGCUUCAAAAGAACUGUUGAAACAGACAACUUACUAUGAAAGCCCAGCAAAAGACGUGUCCCAAACAAUGCCUCUUCAUGUGAAUGGAACAGGAGGUUCGUGACUGGUCUCCUGAGAAGGUGGAAACACUAACCCAGGAAGGCAGCUCAGGACCAGAAGGGAGCACCAGGAUGUUGUCUGGGACAAGGAAGAGCCAGGCCCAUUUCCUAGGGAUCAGGGAGGUCGGCGACAUCUGAGGCCCCAGGUCGCUGCCGGGUUCUCGGAGCCCACGCUGACUCUAGACUUCCUUGGCUCUGAAAUGCAGGUGGGUGUGGGCUCUGCCACCUGCCGGGGGGUCAGCAGUUGCCUCUGCGAGUUUCGAGGGGAGAAACCUGAGGGGCUGCAGCAGCCCUGCAGAGGGAGUGGGAGUGGCAGCAUAGUCCAUGUUCACUCACAGCUCCCAGCCUCCUCCAAGGCGGGCCAAGGGGAGAGGCAGGUGCUUCUACCAUUAGCAUCUGACAUGAGGGAUAAAGUAGCUGAAAUACAGGGGUAAAAAACUAUUUCCACAGGGCCAAGCAGAAACAAAAAUAAAAUUUUUAUUCAUAUUGGCGUUUUGUUAUAAUGCGUAUGUAUUUUUACCUUUCCCUAUUUCGGGUUGUCAGCUCUCUCCCUUCUGAAUAAUCACUGAAACAGCAAGCAUGGUAUUUGACUCUUAAUGGGAAGGCAGGGUGGGAAGGGAGGCAAGCAACAUUUGCCUUUUAUUAUUUUUCUUCUUCUUUAAAAGAAUCUAACAAACACAUCUACUCUAUGCUGUAUUUACUGUGCUUCAAUAGCAGGUAAGGGAAGAGGAUGUGCUUGCGUGUGUAAUUAACCAAAACCUUCCCAGGAUCAAGAAGUCUGUGAUGAAUAGAUUCACUAUGCUUUUAAAUUUUAAAAAGUGAAAUUUUAAAAAGUGAAAACUGACAGAAGUACUCAGACACAAGUAGAGUUAAAAAUCCUGAAGCCUCCUUGCUAUGACGCCAGCC